GGAGGGUAUAGCUCAAGUGGUAGAGCAUGUGCUUAUUAUGCACGAGGUCCUAGGUUCAAUCCCCAGUACCUCCA
rnacentral:tRNA from 1 species